CAGUCGACGGUGAACCGGGCUUCGGCCCGGGGAUCAGUGGCGAACGGGUGCGUAACACGUGGGCAACCUGCCCCCGACACUGGGAUAACUCCGGGAAACCGGGGCUAAUACCGGAUACUCCGACCGAACCUCAUGGCUCGGUCGGGAAAGGUCCGCCGAUCGGGGAUGGGCCCGCGGCCUAUCAGCUUGUUGGUGAGGUAACGGCUCACCAAGGCAACGACGGGUAGCUGGUCUGAGAGGACGACCAGCCACACUGGGACUGCGACACGGCCCAGACUCCUACGGGAGGCAGCAGUGGGGAAUCUUGCGCAAUGGGCGAAAGCCUGACGCAGCGACGCCGCGUGGGGGAUGAAGGCCCUCGGGUUGUAAACCCCUUUCGGCAGGGACGAAGCGAACGUGACGGUACCUGCAGAAGAAGCCUCGGCUAACUACGUGCCAGCAGCCGCGGUAAGACGUAGGAGGCGAGCGUUGUCCGGAUUCAUUGGGCGUAAAGAGCGCGCAGGCGGCUUGGUAAGUCGGAUGUGAAAACCCGGGGCUCAACCCCGGACGUGCACCCGAUACUGCCCGGCUAGAGGUAGGUAGGGGAGAUCGGAAUUCCUGGUGUAGCGGUGAAAUGCGCAGAUAUCAGGAGGAACACCGGUGGCGAAGGCGGAUCUCUGGGCCUUACCUGACGCUCAGGCGCGAAAGCUAGGGGAGCGAACAGGAUUAGA
rnacentral:rRNA from 1 species